rnacentral:rRNA from 1 species
CCUACGGGAGGCAGCAGUAGGGAAUAUUGCUCAAUGGGGGAAACCCUGAAGCAGCAACGCCGCGUGGAGGAUGAAGGUUUUAGGAUUGUAAACUCCUUUUGUUAGAGAAGAUUAUGACGGUAUCUAACGAAUAAGCACCGGCUAACUCCGUGCCAGCAGCCGCGGUAAUACGGAGGGUGCAAGCGUUACUCGGAAUCACUGGGCGUAAAGAGUGCGUAGGCGGGGUAAUAAGUCAGAUGUGAAAUCCUGUAGCUUAACUACAGAACUGCAUUUGAAACUGGUACUCUGGAGUGGGGGAGAGGUAGGUGGAAUUCUUGGUGUAGGGGUAAAAUGCGUAGAGAUCAAGAGGAAUACUCAUUGCGAAGGCGACCUGCUGGAACAUUACUGACGCUGAGGCACGAAAGCGUGGGGAGCAAACAGGAUUAGAUACCCGAGUAGUC